GGUUACAUUUCGAACCCGGAAGCUAAGCCUUACAGCGCCGAUGGUACUGCAGGGGGGACCCUGUGGGAGAGUAGGACGCCGCCGAAC
rnacentral:rRNA from 1 species